AUUGAACGCUGGCGGCAUGCCUAACACAUGCAAGUCGAACGGCAGCACAGCAGUAGCAAUACUGUGGGUGGCGAGUGGCGGACGGGUGAGGAAUACGUCGGAAUCUGCCCAGUCGUGGGGGAUAACUAGCCGAAAGGUUAGCUAAUACCGCAUACGACCGAGAGGUGAAAGCGGGGGACCGCAAGGCCUCGCGCGAUUGGAUGAGCCGACGUCGGAUUAGCUAGUUGGUGGGGUAAAGGCCUACCAAGGCGACGAUCCGUAGCUGGUCUGAGAGGAUGAUCAGCCACACUGGAACUGAGGCACGGUCCAGACUCCUACGGGAGGCAGCAGUGGGGAAUAUUGGACAAUGGGCGCAAGCCUGAUCCAGCAAUGCCGCGUGUGUGAAGAAGGCCUUCGGGUUGUAAAGCACUUUUAUCAGGAACGAAAAGCGACGGACUAAUACUCUGUCGUGCUGACGGUACCUGAGGAAUAAGCACCGGCUAACUUCGUG
rnacentral:rRNA from 1 species